rfam:Phlebotomus papatasi Contig1192.2, whole genome shotgun sequence.
GCCUCUAUAGCUCAGUUGGUAGAGCACUCGUCUGGUUAACGAGAGGUCUCCAGUUCGAUUCUGGGUGGAGGCA